rnacentral:rRNA from 1 species
UACGGAAGGCAGCAGUGGGGAAUAUUGCACAAUGGGCGCAAGCCUGAUGCAGCCAUGCCGCGUGUAUGAAGAAGGCCUUCGGGUUGUAAAGUACUUUCAGUCGUGAGGAAGGUGUUAAGGUUAAUAACCUUAGCAAUUGACGUUAGCGACAGAAGAAGCACCGGCUAACUCCGUGCCAGCAGCCGCGGUAAUACGGAGGGUGCGAGCGUUAAUCGGAAUUACUGGGCGUAAAGGGCACGCAGGCGGUUAAUUAAGUUGGAUGUGAAUCCCCGGGCUUAACCUGGGAAUGGCAUUCAAGACUGGUUAGCUAGAGUCUUGUAGAGGGGGUAGAAUUCCAUGUGUAGCGGUGAAAUGCGUAGAGAUGUGGAGGAAUACCGGUGGCGAAGGCGGCCCCUGGGACAAAGACUGACGCUCAUGUGCGAAAGCGUGGGGAGCGAAACAGGGAUUAGAUACC